GACAGAGGGUGCAAACGUUGCUCGGAAUUACUGGGCGUAAAGCGCGUGUAGGUGGCUUGUUAAGUCGGGUGUGAAAUCCCUCGGCUCAACCGAGGAAGUGCAUUCGAUACUGGCAAGCUCGAGUACCGGAGAGGGUCGUGGAAUUCCUGGUGUAGAGGUGAAAUUCGUAGAUAUUCGGAAGAACACCAGUGGCGAAGGCGGCUCACUGGAGCUGGUAUUGACGCUGAGGUACGAAAGCGUGGGGAGCAAACAGG
rnacentral:rRNA from 1 species